ACAGCAGUCGCACGGGAAAACGUAGGGCGCAAGCGUUGAUCGGAAUUACUGGGCGUAAAGCGUGCGCAGGCGGUUCGCUAAGACAGAUGUGAAAUCCCCGGGCUUAACCUGGGAACUGCAUUUGUGACUGGCGGGCUAGAGUAUGGCAGAGGGGGGGUAGAAUUCCACGUGUAGCAGUGAAAUGCGUAGAGAUGUGGAGGAAUACCGAUGGCGAAGGCAGCCCCCUGGGCCAAUACUGACGCUCAUGCACGAAAGCGUGGGGAGCAAACAGGAUUAGAUACCCGGGUAGUCCCUGUCUCUUAUAC
rnacentral:rRNA from 1 species